rnacentral:rRNA from 1 species
CCUACGGGAGGCAGCAGUGAGGAAUAUUGGUCAAUGGCCGUAAGGCUGAACCAGCCAAGUCGCGUGAAGGAAGAAGGAUCUAUGGUUUGUAAACUUCUUUUAUAGGGGAAUAAAGGUAGCCACGUGUGGAUAUUUGCAUGUACCCUAUGAAUAAGCAUCGGCUAACGCCGUGCCAGCAGCCGCGGUCAUACGGAGGAGGCGAGCGUUAUCCGGAUUUAUGGGGGUGUCCGGGUGCGUAGGGUGUUUUUUAAGUCAGCGGUUAAAGUUUGUGGCUCACCCAUAAAAUUGCCGUUGAAACUGGAAGACUUGAUUGUGUUUGAGGUAGGCGGAAUGCGUGGUGUAGCGGU